rnacentral:rRNA from 1 species
AGCGAACGCUGGCGGCAGGCCUAACACAUGCAAGUCGAACGAACUCUUCGGAGUUAGUGGCGGACGGGUGAGUAACACGUGGGAACGUGCCUUUUGGUUCGGAAUAACUCAGGGAAACUUGUGCUAAUACCGAAUGUGCCCUUCGGGGGAAAGAUUUAUCGCCAUUAGAGCGGCCCGCGUCUGAUUAGCUAGUUGGUGGGGUAACGGCUCACCAAGGCGACGAUCAGUAGCUGGUCUGAGAGGAUGACCAGCCACACUGGGACUGAGACACGGCCCAGACUCCUACGGGAGGCAGCAGUGGGGAAUCUUGCGCAAUGGGCGAAAGCCUGACGCAGCCAUGCCGCGUGAAUGAUGAAGGUCUUAGGAUUGUAAAAUUCUUUCACCGGGGACGAUAAUUACGGUACCCGGAGAAGAAGCCCCGGCUAACUUCGUG